GUUGAGGUCUAUCCCAAUGGGGCUUUUUCUGUGGACUCAAAUCAUUGGAAAUGCCUCAGCAAGUAACUAUGUGAUUUGCUUUAUUCAUAUAACUAUCUGUCAGAUCUGUGGGAAAGAACUACAAGACAGAG